GCCUGAGUGGCUCAGUCAGUUGAGCAUCUGACUUCUGUUCAGGUCAUGAUUCACAGUUUAUGGGUUUGAGCCCCACAUUGGGCU
rnacentral:tRNA from 1 species